ensembl:snRNA U6 U6 spliceosomal RNA
GAGCACUCGUUCAGCAGCUCAUAUACUAAAACUGGAAUGAUCCAGAGUCCUGCAUGGUCCCUGUGCAAGGAGGAAGCGCAAAUUCACGAAGUGUUCCAUAUUUAA